AAUGACAGCCAUAUCACCCUGCAGCCCAAGACCGGUUACUCACUGAAGCCAAGCAGGGCUGAGCCUGGUCAGUACCUGGAUGGGAACAUGGGAACACUAGGUUGCUGUUGGAA
rnacentral:rRNA from 1 species